AAUUCGUGGUGCUGACAUUUCUGAAUCAGCCUUUUGAAUUGUUCCCAUGCCUCAUGAAAACUUUCUCCUUCCAGCUAUUUAAACACAACAAUCUCUCUUCUUAGUU
rfam:Gossypium raimondii Chr05_contig_412, whole genome shotgun sequence.